rnacentral:rRNA from 1 species
CCUACGGGUGGCAGCAGUGGGGAAUAUUGCACAAUGGGGGAAACCCUGAUGCAGCGACGCCGCGUGAGUGAAGAAGUCCUUCGUUAUGUAAAGCUCUAUCAGCAGGGAAGAAGAUGACGGUACCUGAGUACGAAGCCACGGCUAACUACGUCCCAGCAGCCACGGUAAUACGUAGGGGGCGAGCGUUAUACGGAUUUGCUGGGGGGAAAGGGAGCGUGGACGGCAGUGCAAGUCUGGAGUGAAAGGCGGGGGCUCAACCCCCGGACUGCUCUGGAAACUGUACGGCUGGAGUGCAGGAGAGGUAAGUGGAAUUCCUAGUGUAGCGGUGAAAUGCGUAGAUAUGAGGAGGAAUACCAGUGGCGAAGGCGGCUUAUUGGACUGUAACUGACGUUGAGGCGCGAAAGCGUGGGGAGCAAACAGGAUUAGAUACCCCAGUAGUC